rnacentral:rRNA from 1 species
AGAGUUUGAUCCUGGCUCAGGACGAACGCUGGCGGCGUGCUUAAUACAUGCAAGUCGAGCGAGGUUACUGUUUCGGAUCCCCUCGGGGUGAAGAAGCUUUAACCUAGCGGCGGACGGGUGAGUAACGCGUGGGUAACCUACCCCAAAGUCCGGGAUAACAGCGGGAAACCGCUGCUAAUACCGGAUGCCUUUACCUUGGGGCAUCUUGAGGUAAAGAAAGGCAACGCUUUGGGAUGGGCCCGCGUCCCAUUAGCUAGUUGGUGAGGUAACGGCUCACCAAGGCGACGAUGGGUAGCCGGCCUGAGAGGGUGGACGGCCACACUGGGACUGAGACACGGCCCAGACUCCUACGGGAGGCAGCAGUAGGGAAUAUUGCGCAAUGGACGGAAGUCUGACGCAGCGACGCCGCGUGAGCGAUGAAGGUCUUCGGAUCGUAAAGCUCUGUCCUUGGGGAAGAAGGCGAAAGCUUGACGGUACCCAAGAAGAAAGCCCCGGCUAACUACGUGCCAGCAGCCGCGGUAAU